rnacentral:rRNA from 1 species
CCUCCUUUCUUCCUCCUUUCUGCCUAUUUGUCAAUGGCCGGAAUGCUGAACCAGCCAUGCCGCGUGAAGGUCAGUGCCCUAUGGGCGUUAAACUUCUUUUGUGCGGGAGCAAUAAUGGUCACGUGUGGCCAGACGAGAGUACCGUACGAAUAAGCAUCGGCUAACUCCGUGCCAGCAGCCGCGGUAAUACGGGGGAUGCAAGCGUUAUCCGGAUUUAUUGGGUUUAAAGGGUGCGUAGGCUGUGAGGUAAGUCAGCGGUGAAAUGCCCCCGCUCAACGGGGUGAAGUGCCAUUGAUACUGCCUUGCUGGAAUGCGGAUGCCGUGGGAGGAAUGUGUGGUGUAGCGGUGAAAUGCAUAGAUAUCACACAGAACACCGAUUGCGAAGGCAUCUCACGAAUCCGCGAUUGACGCUGAUGCACGAAAGCGUGGGUAUCAAACAGGAUUAGAUACCCCAGUAGUC